CUUGAACGCUGGCGGCAGGCUUAACACAUGCAAGUCGAACGAGAGGCGGACGGGUGAGUAAUGUCUGUGAAACUGCCCGAUGUAGGGGGAUAACUGCUGGAAACGGUAGCUAAUACCGCCUACCAUCGGAUGUGCCCAGAUGGGAUUAGCUAGUGGGUGGGGUAACGGCUCACCUAGGCGACGAUCCCUAGCUGGUGUGAGGGGAUGACCAGCCACACUGGAACUGAGACACGGGCCAGACUCCUACGGGAGGCAGCAGUGGGGAAUAGUGCACAAUGGGCGCAAGCCUGAUGCAGCCAUGCCGCGUGUAUGAAGAAGGGCUUCGGGUUGUAAAGUACUUUCAGCGAGGAGGCGUUACUCGCAGAAGAAGCACCGGCUAACUCCGUGCCAGCAGCCGCGGUAAUUC
rnacentral:rRNA from 1 species